rnacentral:rRNA from 1 species
UACAGAGGGUGCGAACGUUGCUCGGAAUUACUGGGCGUAAAGCGCGUGUAGGCGGGUCGGCAAGUCAGGCGUGAAAUCCCCAGGCUCAACCUGGGAACUGCGCUUGAAACUGCCGGUCCUGAGUAAGUCGGAGGAGGGUGGCGGAAUUCCUGGUGUAGAGGUGAAAUUCGUAGAUAUCAGGAGGAACACCGGUGGCGAAGGCGGCCACCUGGACGAUUACUGAGCUGAGACGCGAAAGCGUGGGGAGCAAACAGG